AACGAACGCUGGCGGCAUGCCUAACACAUGCAAGUCGAACGAGAUCUUCGGGUCUAGUGGCGCACGGGUGCGUAACGCGUGGGAAUCUGCCCUUUGGUUCGGAAUAACAGUUGGAAACGACUGCUAAUACCGGAUGAUGACGAAAGUCCAAAGAUUUAUCGCCAGAGGAUGAGCCCGCGUAGGAUUAGCUAGUUGGUGUGGUAAAGGCGCGCCAAGGCGACGAUCCUUAGCUGGUCUGAGAGGAUGAUCAGCCACACUGGGACUGAGACACGGCCCAGACUCCUACGGGAGGCAGCAGUGGGGAAUAUUGGACAAUGGGCGAAAGCCUGAUCCAGCAAUGCCGCGUGAGUGAUGAAGGCCUUAGGGUUGUAAAACUCCUUUACCCGGGAUGAUAAUGACAGUACCGGGAGAAUAAGCUCCGGCUAACUCCGUGCCAGCCGCCGCCGUAA
rnacentral:rRNA from 1 species